CUUUGUAUCGUAUGGGCAUGCUUAUUACUUAUUUCUCACCCCUUAGGCCCUUACCUUAGCUUUACUUUCUUAUAUCUUCACUCUCCAACCCCCCCUUUCGCCUACAAUCUCAGAUCUCACCUCAAGUCCUGGUCAUGCUUUUCCACAGCUUUCUUGAACUUCUUAUGCCUCCACCUCCCGGAUUCUAAGCCCUAGAAGCUCAAGAAAGCUGUGGGAGAAUAUGGCAAUUCAGGCUUCUUUUAAUUCCCUUCAGAGUACUCCUCCAUUCACGGGAAAGAAGAUAAAACGGAGAACCUUUACCAAAUAUAAGGCACAUGUUUUCAUACCCUUGGAACGUUUUGCUUAAGGGAAUGCCACAAGUUGUGCAGAGAUGUAGGACCACCAAAAAUAGAUUAAAUCAGAGCAGGGAGACACGGAAGCAUGGCAUGUUUCUGUGCAUCUUCGUAUAAAAUGGAUAUCAUUAGCAUAUUGAUCGUGAAGAGCUACCUAGUGUGAUAUAUAUAUAUACAUACAUAUAUUUGCUUCCCCAAUUUUAUUUAUCUAUUUUACAGCGACCAGGGAAAUAGUGAAAAUUUUGAACACGGGCACACGAAACCCAUUGAGUAUCCCAUGAAACAGAAUUCAAGUGUGACACGACAUCGUUUGAGUUACCAGAGAGACAGAGCUGUAACUGAUCAUGGAUGCACAGUGAUGCCUUCAGUGACAUGAAAUGAAUCCUGGGUUAAAUUUCCUAGUACGGAAUUAUUCGUGCUUUUCACACCACUGUUUAAUAUAUGUAUAUAUAUAUAUAUAUACCUUUUUUUUCAAUUAUAAGUUUUUAGAAGGAAGAAAAAAAUUGUGGUGGUUUAUUUCUUAUGUCUGGAGCUAAACAGGAACGUGUCAGUUGCCAUGCAGUGUAACUUGCUACUCGUUGUUUCUGUC